rnacentral:pre_miRNA from 1 species
CGUGUACUCCUUCCGUUCCGAAUUACUUGUCUUGGAUUUGUCUAGAUACGGAUGUAUCUAGACUCAUUUUAGUGCUAGAUACCUCCGUAUCUAGACAAAUCUAAGACAAGUAAUUCGGAACGGAGGGAGUACAUG